rnacentral:lncRNA from 1 species
AAAAUCUAUGCGUGUACCACAGGAAUUCAUUGAAAAAUGUGAGAGCUGCUCUUAACAGGCACUUGACUGACAUAAACUGAGAUAUUGACAUUGUAAAAGGCAAUGAAUUUAGACAAAGCAAUGUUAUUUUGGAUAGUACACUCAAAGUUAGUCUAGACAUGCACCCUUGUGUAUCAGUACAGAAAUUACUACGAACUGGAGAUAGGACACGG